UAAAGUUAAUUUCUGCAAUCUAAGUGAAUUCUAAUCUCAAUUUCAUUGCUUUGCUUACUAUUGCUUGAAGAACGUUUGUUUUUCCCUAUCAUUUCCUUGUUAACCAACACCCCAAGCCCCAUUACAACCUUAACUUCUAUCUUGAGUGUUAGGUGUUUCAAUUUGUGGAGUUUGAAUUUGGUAUGAGCAUAUGGUGUCACUGGUUCUCGCAUCUAAGUAGUAGCAUU
rnacentral:lncRNA from 1 species